rnacentral:rRNA from 1 species
AACGAACGCUGGCGGCAUGCCUAACACAUGCAAGUCGAACGGGAUCCUAGCUUGCUAGGUGAGAGUGGCGGACGGGUGAGUAACACGUGGGAAUCUGCCUUUUGGUUCGGGAUAACCGCGGGAAACUGCGGCUAAUACCGAAUGCCCUCGAGAGAGGAAAGAUUUAUCGCCAGAAGAGGAGCCCGCGUCCGAUUAGGUAGUUGGUGGGGUAAAGGCCUACCAAGCCGACGAUCGGUAGCUGGUCUGAGAGGAUGAUCAGCCACACUGGGACUGAGAUACGGCCCAGACUCCUACGGGAGGCAGCAGUGGGGAAUAUUGGACAAUGGGGGUAACCCUGAUCCAGCAAUGCCGCGUGAGUGAUGAGGGCCUUAGGGUUGUAAAGCUCUUUUGCCAGGGAAGAUGAUGACUGUACCUGGAGAAUAAGCCCCGGCUAACUUCGUGCCAGCAGCCGCGGUAAU